UGGGGAAUAUUGGACAAUGGGCGCAAGCCUGAUCCAGCAAUGCCGCGUGAGUGAUGAAGGCCUUAGGGUUGUAAAGCUCUUUCGCACGCGACGAUGAUGACGGUAGCGUGAGAAGAAGCCCCGGCUAACUUCGUGCCAGCAGCCGCGGUAAUACGAAGGGGGCUAGCGUUGUUCGGAAUUACUGGGCGUAAAGGGCGCGUAGGCGGCCUGUUUAGUCAGAAGUGAAAGCCCCGGGCUCAACCUGGGAAUAGCUUUUGAUACUGGCAGGCUUGAGUUCCGGAGGGGAUGGUGGAAUUCCCAGUGUAGAGGUGAAAUUCGUAGAUAUUGGGAAGAACACCGGUGGCGAAGGCGGCCAUCUGGACGGACACUGACGCUGAGGCGCGAAAGCGUGGGGAGCAAACGGAUUAGAUACCCUGGUAGUCCACGCCGUAAACGAUGAAUGCUAGACGUCGGGGUGCAUGCACUUCGGUGUCGCCGCUAACGCAUUAAGCAUUCCGCCUGGGGAGUACGGCCGCAAGGUUAAAACUCAAAGGAAUUGACGGGGUCAUAGCUGUUUCCU
rnacentral:rRNA from 1 species